GUUUCAAAUGGGGCAGAAGUCCAUGAGUUGUUGUGAUUCUGGAUGGCCAGAUAGCUAUCAGUGUUGCCAACUCCUCAGUAAGGAAAGUAGCUAUUGGCUGUCCAGUUGAUGUGGAUAGGGGGGUGCUCACUCUGCUGUUUCCUGAAGUCCACGAUCAAGAUUACACCAUGAGUCAGUAAUCAUGAAGCAUACACCCCAGCCCUUCCUCUUCCCAGAGAGGUGUUUAUCUCUGUCGGCGCGAUGCAUGGAGAAGCCCGGUGGCUGAACCGAUUCCGACAACAUAUCCCGAGAGAGCAAUGUUUCCGUGAAACAGAGAAUGUUACAAUCUCUGAUGUCUCUCUGGAAAGCAACCUUUGCUCGAAUUUCGUCUACCUUGUUGUCAAGAGACUGGACAUUGGCGAGUUGUAUACUUGGGAGUGGUGGGCGAUGUGCACGUCUACGGAGCCUGACCAGGAGGCCGCUCCAUCUGCCCCUUCUGCGGCGCCGUUGUUUUGGGUCGGCUUCUGGGAUUAGAUCCAUUGUCCUGGGUGGUGCUCCAAACAGAGGAUCCGCUUCGGGAAAGUCGUAUUCCUGGUCGUAAUGUUGGUUCCAGGAACUGCACGACCCGGCCCACCCCAUCUGCAGCACCCACCCCAAGCCUGAUCAGAAGCCCCAAGAAGUGGGUGCGGAGCACCGAAGCGACCAGACAGGACCUCUGCUAUCCAGAGAGGUCCUGUCUGCUACUGAGAGGGCUGCUACUCUUCCAAGUAGCCCGACGGAGGCCCCUCUGGCCGUGGCUCUCAACACCAGCUCCACACAAAGGUGGUAAUCCAGCUGUCUGGUUGGUGGCAGUGACUCUGCUUCCCCUGGACUCUUCUCCUUUUCCUCCUCUGUCUUCCAGUCCCAGUGCUGUCCAUGCUCCAAGAGAGAUAAAGAGCUCCCAGACCCACCACAACCAGUAUGGCCCUUACAAACGCCCUCUGACGUCCCAUGAUGCUCCAGCAUCUAGCCCCCCCCCCCCCCUUACUCCUAUGUCCUAGUUUUUAUCUCCCCUGGAUGGAGAAUGAUAUGGCUCGCUCCGUUUCCUGUCCUAUUGCUUAUUUUUCAUUAACAGUACUUUUUUAUUGAAUGACCUAAACUGUACAGUCAAUGCGCUAGUUCAAGCGGAUCAGUUUUGUCAAGUCGGUCACUACCUUUCAAAGUGUGUUGCAUUAUGGGGUAAAACAUAACCAGACUUGCGCCUACAUGUCCACUGCAUGAACUUUACAAAACUCAUGUGAUCUAAGGUCAUGAAGUUUGACUGCAAGUUUCUGCAGUUGCAUUUUACCAACUUCAGCCACCGCCUGCAUUGUGGAAGGAUCUAUUUUCAGCCAAUCAUUAAGUUGUUUUUGUUUGACCAUGCAAACGAGACCAAAUACAUGAAUGUGAUAUUUGAGGCUCUCUCUCACUGAUUAAUUGUACAAUGUAGACUUACACACACAGGAUUUCAGUUUGUGAGUGUGUAAUAAUAUACUGAACAAAAAUAUAAAUGCAACAUGUAAAGUGUUGGUCCUAUGUUUCAUGAGCUGAAAUAAAAGAUCCCAGAAAUGUUC